rnacentral:lncRNA from 1 species
UUUCAGAUUUUGUUUUUCUGCAAUUUGUAGGCGACGCUGGAGCCUUGCAGUCCAUUGGCUCGGGGGAGAGCAGUGGAGAGGACACACGUGCGUGUAGUUCCCUGUCCAUUGAAAAUGUAGAAGCCCAUCUUGCUGCAGUGUAUGUGAGCAUAUGGCCUGCAAGUGCUGCUCUUUUCCCAGAUUGAAAACAUUGCGGUGUGGUUGGCUGGCCAUCGACGUGCACUUCGCUUUGGGGGGCAGUACGUUCUUUGUGGAUGUGCACUUCGUUUGGCCCGAGCGGCAUGAAGCUCCAUUUGCGCGCAUGUGUGGCUCGGCUAACUAGUUUGUGCAGUUCGCAUGAUACCUUUAUUAUGUGAUGCCUCCCUAGUUGCUGGAGUUCACUUCUUUGUAUUUAUUGAAACAUCAUGUAGUGCACUGUGAAACUCUCUGUUGUUCACUUGUAAAAACAAAUAGCGGUUCCCUUUGUAAAAAAAGUGCAGCCCCUUAGUGGUUCACCUUGUAGAAAAUGAGAAAGAAAUCCCCAUGGGAGGUUCACUUCUUUUUCCAAUGCAUUUUGUUUUGUUUGUGGGAUGAUUGAAAAAAGAAGUUCACUCCACUUGUUUAGUAGCUCAUACCCCUUUGUAUGAAAUGCAAUUUGUUUCGUGUGUCUCAAAAUCAGUCGACUACAUCAACACGUGCAGUGCGUUUGGUUUUUGGAUGUGGUUCAUUUUUUAGAGUGAUGUUGUUCACUUGUGCCGAACAUGAAAGCACAAAAAAAAUUAGCAAAACAAUAAAAAUAGUAAUGCGGUUCACUAUGAUAUAUGAUGUGGUUCGCUUGCUCGCGUCUCUGCGGUCCACUCUUGUUCAUAAAAAAAUUGAAAAAAACCAUCAAAAACUCGUCCGAGAAAAAUUUACAUCCGACAAAGGAAACCAUGAAGUUCACUUGCCUGUCUGAUGCAGUGCGGUUUCAUCCGAUGCAGUGCGGUUUUCUGUCGAAUGACGUUCACUCACCGAUUUGGGUGUCGCAAAAAACAGUGUCCGCAUAUUCGUAAUUUUAAAAUUUCUUUUAAACCGUAAGGAAUUAGAGAGAGUGUUCUACAUGAAAAAGUUGCGUCUCGUCGAUAUCUUUCCAAUGCCAUAUCAUUUGAAUCAUUUUGACAAGCAGUUUGUAAAAGUUUGGCAAAAAACGACUGCUGCCACUCAUCGUCCGCCGCACCAUUUUAAAAAUUAACUUAAAACCGUAGGGAAUCUCGAAACCAUUUCUACAUAUGAAAGUUGCGCCUUGUCCAUAGCUUUCCAACGAUGUAUUACACGCCUCAGUUCGAUAAACGGUUCAAAAACUAGAGUGAAAACAGUAUCGAACAUUGCAAAAAAUUUCAAAAACGUAAUUUCGCGAUUUAGUAAAUUUGAAACUGCUCAAAACCGAAACGAAUUAGAGAAAAUAAUAGGUAUGGAAAAGAUGUGCCUCAACGAUAUCUUUCCAACGGCGUAUCAUUUGCUUUAUUCCGAUGAGCGGUUUUGAAAAAAUCAUGAAAAUACGCUCGCUGCCACUCGUCAUCUGCAGCACCGUUUUUGAAACUGCUCUUAAACCGCGAGGAUCUUGAAAAGUGUUCAACAUGGCAAAGUUGCGCCUAAUCCAUAGCUUCUCCAGGUAUAUUACACGCAUCAUUCUGAUAAAUGGUUAAAAAAUUAGAGCGAAAAAACUACUAAAAAUACUGCAGCACACUUGGUUCAAACAAUGACGUGCACUUGCGUUGAGCGUGCACUUCGGAAGUGUUAUCAGAAUAACUAUUCUGCUAAUAUUAGCAUAAUAGACAGACUGUAUAUAUAUAUACAUCUGGUUACCCUAUGAUGAAUUCAAGCGGUUGAACUGAUGCUUUCUGUUCCUGUUAAAAAUCGUCUUUUUUAGUUCAAAAGUUUUUACAAUUUUUUUAUCAAAAUAGGGCGUGUAAUAUAUCAUUGGAAAGCUCUUGACAUCCACAUUACAAUAUUAUAAUUUUUUUUUGCAAAAAAAUUAAGAUUUACGAGCAGUUUUGAAAAAACCGUUUUUUUUUCAAACUGAAAAUGCGAAUCGUAUUUUGGACUUAAUUUUCAAACGGUUUGUUGGAAUUGAGCAAAUGAGAUGGCAUUGGAAAGCUUGUGAAAAUCCGCAUCUUCUAUAUUUCUACUAUUUUUUCAAAUUCUAUACGAUUUAAAAGUAAUUUGAAAAAGAGUGAAAUUCUGGGUGAAAUGUUUUUUCACUAUUUUUUUGCAAAUGGUUUGUAGGAUUGAUACAAAUGAUAUGGUGUUGGAAAGCUAUGGAAAAUGUGCAAAUUUUGCGUAUAGAAAGUUUUUUCUAAUCCUUACGGUUUAAAUACGAAUUCAAAUACGGUUAAAAUUGAUUUUGAACGUGUUUUUUAAAAAGUUUGUCGAAAUGGGGAAAAUAAUAUACCGUUGGAUAGCUAUCGAAAAUGCAAAACUUAGUCAUGUUGGACGUUUUCUCUACUUCGCAACCGUUUAAGAGUAAUCUUGAAUACGGCAUGACGGAUCCUGCUAUUUUCUCGUCUGAAAAACAGAUUAGUCGUACUGAUAUAUGUGUAUGUUUGUACUGAGCUAUUUUUUGUAGAGUAAUUUUAAAUGGUGCCGAAAAAAUGUACUUAUACUGAUGCUUGCAUGGUUUUGUACUAAACGUGUUUUCACUAACUAGACUUUGCUCUGUUUUUUCGUGAGAACCAUCAUGCUGUUUUUUUGUGAGAAAAAAUAGAGUACUUGUACUGAUCUUCGUGUGUGUUUGUACUAAUGUAUUCUUCAAAGAGUAAUUUUGAAAGGUUACGAAAAAAGAGUACUUGAACUGAUGUCCGUAUGGGGUUGUACUGAGCGUUUUUUCACAGACUAGGCUUUACUCUAUUUUUUUACUGAAAAUUGUUUCAUCAAUUGUUCGCAAAUGAUAGUACGAACUAAGAUAUGUGUUGGUUUGUACUGAGCAUUUGUUUCAUCAUUUGUUCGCAAUUGAUAGUACGAACGGAGCUUUGUUCAUUUUUAUACUGAGCAUUCUUGUCAGUGCCAGGAUCUCCGGAUUUAUGUUGUUUUGUUCUGCGAACUUCCUCAAAAUUUUAUUGGUAAAUCACACCGUUUUUUUUCUUUUGCUAAAUUUUUGUCCUCUGAACUUGUGACCUAUGGAGUUUGUACUGAUAUGAAUCGUUUUGCCGAACCGCCACAAUUUUUUGUGUAUUGAAUCACUAUAUAACUUAGAACCAAAUUGUUUUUCUUAACAUAUAUUUGAAUUGUUUCUAUAUGUACAUUGAAUUGGGGAAGAGUAGCAAUAGUUAUACAUACUUUAUGGAUAGUAAUACAUGAAUUUCUUGGUAAACUGAAGAAUAUACUCUGGACCGUAAUACAUGUCCUCUCGAGUUUGUACUGAUGUGAAUCCUUUUGAACUUGCUCUCGACGGUAAUACAUGACCUCUCGAGUUUGUACUGAUGUGAAUCCAUUCGAACUUACGUGGCUUACAUCAUUGAACGGACUCUAUUCUUCUCACUACCACCAUUGUUUUGUCCAUUUCUUUUUGGACUUGCAUGGCUUACAUCGUUGAACGGGCUUAGGUGGAUAUGUACUAAUGAACUACUAUGAUUUGUAGCUCUCAGGAAAUGUAAUCCUUUCUUUCCCUGUUAUUCUGAAUACCAAACAGCAAAAAAUCAGUUCUCAUAAGCACGAAAAAAUUAUAUAUGUACCCCUAAAUUUUGCAGCUAUUUUGUCCUCUUUCAUUUCGAAAAAAGCAUACAAAAAGCAAAAGCACAAACUAUACAAAAGGUUUUAGACACCAAACUAGUAGAGAAUUAAAAAUAGGCAUCAGGCAGCAACUUGCUAAACAUAGCACGAGUCAUAUACAUAUGCAUUUCAUCCCAUUAUACUUCUCCACCCGCAUGGAAAGUGAGAGAACCUCCCUACAUGCAUAUAUAGGCAUCAAACUCCCUCUGUACCUGAACUAUAUUUUUGUUUGAUAUAUAUUAUGAACUCCUCUCGUCGAUGUACAUGAACCUGCUGUGCAGAGAGAUGAAAUGUAGUACAUCAGUCUAGCUUCAUUCAGCUAGAGAGAAACAUGAAAAAAUGUUCAGUUUUUUAGACGGCUUUCCUCUUUUUCUUUGUCCAAUCUGCGCCACGACUGCCACCAUCCUGCAUGCAAGCUUAAAAUUAAUUGAAGCCACCAAACAUGCACUUUCAUGAGACUUUGCUACUAUAAGUCAGCGAACAUAUCUUUUAGUAUUAAACCAAAGGCACACUUAUUACCCAGCACUCUUGUUCAGUUCAGAGCAUCAUCAAUAAGAUAAAGAUACGAAAACAUUAAGCCAAUAUAGAACAACUGGAUUGAUUUGAUUCAAAUUUUUACUUUCAAUGCAUUGUAGGCAACAGCCGAUCCAAGUCAGAACUGAUGUGAUUUAUUCCAUCGAACUGAUAUGAAAGUUUAUCUAUACUGUUCUGUUUUUUAACACACAUGUUUUGAACUAUUCCCGCUUUUUUCAUUAUGAAUUGAUGACAUAACACAUGUUGAACUGUUACACAAGAGCAAAUUCAGAAAUACAUAACAAUGGUGUACUCAAAAUAUGUGCAUUUUAAGGAACAAAACUUUCUGAACCUUCUAUACGAAAAACUUCAACUAUCAGUCCAAAGAGAUUUGAAGUUAAACAAUCAUUUCCCUUACUGAGUGUUAAGGAAAACGAAACCAGAGAUGACCUCGCCGGCAGUAGGAGUAGCGAUGGCUGCCAAGGCGACGCGUUGGUACAUGUACUAAACAUCUGCUCAAACCUGUUGUAACAUCUACUUCAAGCUUUUUCUAAAUCAUUGUUGGGAGUAGAGGGUUUUAAAAGAAAAUACAGAGUGCCAAAGAAAGAAAGGAACAACCUAUUUAUCUAAAGGACUGUGAUAUUUGGCACACGUGUGCCAUAUAAGGAAAACUGCCACACCUCUAUUUCUUUCAUUUUAAAGUACCAUACGAUCCCUCGUUCUUUGACCCCGCCUCUUCCCAAAUUACCCCGCAGGCUCGCCUGAGAAACCCGCUUCUCCCGCACAUCUCGGGAGCUUACCCCCGAGAAAACUGCCACUUCUUCACGUCUACCACAUGAUCUCUCCUCAGGACAAAGUUACCAUGAUAUUCAUAUGAAAGUUAUUAGGCCUGUGUUGCAUAGCUUACCGUACUAUUUACAUGGAACGUAUCAGGUACUAUGCUUCAACAACUAGACCCUUUCAAAGUUACCACUAUGUUUUGUACACAAGUUAUAAGGUCUUCGAUGUGCAAAAUACCGUGGUACUUACACAUAAGUUAUCAGGGUAUAUGUACAUCAACCUCCCCCCGGUCAAAGUUACCAUGGGGGAUUGUACAUGAGUUACCAGGUCUACGGUUCGUAUAUUAUCAUGGUACUUGCACCUAAAAACCUGGGUGUGUUUCGGUAGCUUUUCUCAUAGGUCAAAAAUUACCAUGAUGUUUUUGCGUAACUUAACAUGCCUAUAGCACGUGUGCCCCUCGUGACACUAAACAUUAUGUGACUUUCUCGUGGCACGCCAUGUGUUGUGUUCAUCCAAGAGGCCCACGCGCGAGGCAAGUGUAUUUUUUUAACAACUUAUAUAUUUUCCUUUGGUAAAAAAGUUAUCAUCAUGUUUAUAUUGCAAGUUAUCGGUUAUGCGGUGCUUAUAUUAUCAUGUUAUUUACACAAAAAUUAUUGGGGAUGUUUUGAACAACUUUUUCCCGAGGUAAAAAGUUAUCAUGGUGAUUCUAGGUAACCUAUCAAGCCCGUAGUGCUUAAAAUAUCAUGCUAUUUACAUAAAAUUUAUCAAGGAUAUGUUUCAGCAACAAAUUCCACCCCCCCAUGGGUCAAAAAUUUAUCAUGGUGUUUAGUUAUCGCAGUGCAUAUGUUUUCAUACUAUUUACACAUAAAAAUGCCAGGGGAGGGAGGUAUACUACCGUGCUAUUUACACAGAAGUUACCGGAGUAUCUUAAAAAAAUUCCCUACGGUCAAAGUUACCAUGGUGCUUCUACCUCCGUUAUUAGAUGUGCGCUGCGUAUAUUACCAUCUAUUUACACAUAAACUAUCAGGUAUCUUUUCACAUUUGUUGUCCCCAAUGGUUAAAGUUACCACGAUGUUUGUAUCUAAAUUAUCAGGUCUAUGGCGUGAAUGUUAUCGUACUAUUUACAGAAAUUACCGGAGGGCGGGUUCAACAAAUUUAUUCACAAUGAUCAAAGUUACCACGAUGCUUGAAACAAAAAGUUGCUAAAGUAUUAAAGGCAAAAACAUGUCAAAAACAGUAUUACCCUUAGAAUGUUCAACAAUGAGUAUCAUAGGUGAGGUGGUUAGCUCCCUUUGUUAAUUACCUGCAGACCAGAGAUCAAAUCCUAGUCUAAGCAUUAUUUUUGCUCAAAAUUGAGAAGGCAUGUGGGGCCAUAAAUGACGAUUACGAAAAUUAGGAAGGCACAAGCGGGAGAGAAUUGAUGACAUUGGAUGCGUGUGGCAGUUUCGCAAUCUGCCACACGGUUGCCAUAUACAUAUUUCGUUAUCUAAAUAGUGUGUGGAAUUGUUUAUAUGGAUGAACAAAACAUUACUUGAAGUAGAGGUUCUGCCAAAAGAAAGAAAGAGCAUCUUGCAGGUUCAAGUUUGAGUAGUUGAGCCAGACAAUUUAUCGUAGGUGUUGUAUGUAAUAAUAAUUUAAUUAUUUUCAUAGGAGUACGACUCAUAGUAUCGGCAUGGAGGUCGUGAACAAAAGCAGAAGUAUCCUUAAUUUUUUAUUAGUGACUGUAAUUUUCCUUAUAAAGAACAUACUACUCUCGUGUAAACCCAUCCCUCUACAUAUGUACUGUCAGUUUUUUGCAAAUCGAACAAAUUGCGUAUGUAGCAAGUGCUAGUAUCUUGAAAUGCAGUUAUGCGUAUGCCCCUAAGAGUAGGUGAAUAGAAAACUCGAACAAAAAAUAGCUUUCUCCUAAUAGUAAUCGUGCUAGAACUCAUUCAAAGCUGAAGUGAACUAUAAUUAUAACCAGCCUUUGUCAAUAGAAGUCCUACUAAUCACAAAUUCCUCUAAUUUCCUCCAGACUCAAGAUCAAGAUGGUGGACAGUGCACGGAUAUUACAAAAUUAACAAUUCACAAUACGAAUUAAGUAUCACAAAUUGCAAGGCACAAGUUUUGAGCACAUACAAUCUUUCAUUGGUAGGCAGCACUACAACUUUGGAGGUCAACACAUUAGGCAAACUCUUUGGAAUUAAGAUAGUGAAAAGUAAAUGUAUGCGAAAGCAAGCUUCCAUUCGGUAAACCAUCAAGCCCAGAUUGCUGCACUCCGAAUUUCCUUUAGACUCAUACGCUACCUUCAGAUCAGCAAGCUUUAUGUUCAGCAAGUGUGUAACAAAACAAGAAUUGAACUGGAAUAGAAUUUGAAAUUUGAACUGAAAUACAAUACGAAAACUAAACUGAGUGUACUUUCAGAUUUUCACAUGGGCAUUAGUGCAUGAAGCAGCAAUGAAAUUGAACUGAAACAAAUUUCAGUUCAGCAAACUUAUAUGAAGUUAUAUGAAGCAUGCUUGAAUGCGUUGACCCGAAGCAUGCUUGUAGGAGAGUAGUGGCACUGGAAGGGAGCCUUUUGCUGAACUUAUAUGAAGUUAUAUGAACUUGUCUAACUUAUAUGGAACUUAUAUGAAGCCUUUUGCUGAACUUAUAUGAAGUUGACCAGACAAGAUGAUACCGGGGCGCAUCAGAAUAUAGGAGAGUGGUGAUGCAAGUCAGUCACCGGCUGGAUAAUGAAGCGGGUGGUAUGCGGCAUGGAGACAACCAGAAAAUGGGACAUCCAGGGGUAGGGAGCGUCGUCGCUGAAGAUCAGAGAGUGUGGAGCGCAGGCGUGCGGUGUCCCCCGGCCGGCAACGGAGACGAAGGAGAUCGGGGAUAGUGCACUUUUUUCGUCAGCCUGCAAGAUGCUCAAGGACCAGGACAACAUGUAGUUUCAGAAUUACAGAUUGUGGUCAGCUAUAGGAUGUUUCUGGGACCAUGUUUUAGCUACGAGAGAGCAACAACAUCACAUCAUGAGAGAGAGGAUGCAGCAUCAAAAAUUCAGGAGAAAGAUCAGAGCAGAGCAGAAGUAAAUAUGUUUUGAGGAGAUGAACUGACCAGGAUUUAAAUGAACUCUCACUAGCAGUAAUUUUUGUACUUCGCAUGUAGUACUACAUGGACUUGCUGUAAAAUACAUGGACCAUGUAGUAAUUUUGAAGUUAAUUAUAUGAUCAUCUCAGGGAGCUCAAGUUGUACUGAAAGCUCAAGUUGGACUGAAACUCACUCGAUAACUAAAACUCCUAGGGCGAGGGGUGGGAUCCAGGGUGCUGCUAGCAAUGAAUGGCCUGGGGUGGUGGCGUUGAACGGCCUGGAGUGGUGGCUGUGAACAGCCAGGGUGCUCCGGCGGCAGAGCCCCACCGGAGAUGGUGAUGCAAGCAGGAGGUCGGGAAGCAGUGGUGCCGGUGGUCGGGGUUGUCCAAUGCACACGGCACACCAGUACAGGAAGUUGAUUCAUCACCCAUCCACAGUUUUUUUCCUUUUGGGAAUCCAUUGAACUGAAAAAAGCUACAUGUGAGCUGAAAGUAUGAAAAUAACACAUCUUUGAAAGAAUAAAGAACUAGCUUUAACUUAUCUAUGAAAGAAUACACCUCCGAGGAACUAGCUUUGAACAUAUCUCUGAAAGAAUAGAGAGCAUGCAAAGUUCAAGGAAAGAAUAAGCAAAAUGGCACACUAGUACGCAGUAGUACGAGUCCAGUCAUGUACGUGCUAGUAUUAGAUUUGAAUAGUAGCUAGAAUUGAAGUUCAGGUAACCAUGGCACACACAUCAUACAGUUUUAGUCAUGUAUGCACACACACUGUAAUAGUAGCUGCAAUUAAAGUUCAAAUAACCACGGCACCCAUAACAGAACAAGAAUCAGUCUAGCAGCUAGGCAAGCAAGCUUCAUCAGCAUGAAUACACAUCAGCGGCAAGCUAGAACACGCUAGUAGGCUGUAGAAGUCUCCUUGUAAUUUUUCAAACAGAAGUGCUUUAGUUCAGUUCAGUAGUAAGGCAUGGAAAAAGAAAAGCAAUGGAAUAAACUAUAACCGAGCCAAAUAUGUAAUUUCAACAACCUAGACCUCAUUGCUUGACUUCAGUAGUAAUACAUGAUCAUCAGUUCAAUAUAAACAGACUGAUGUUAACAUCAUCGUACAUCCAUUGCCGGUUCAUCUGCGUGCAUUAUAUAUAAUUAAGUGUGUCAAAAACCAUUACAGAAUAGCAUGAAUACAAAAGACCAAAUUAAUAGAAGUUCAUCAUCACAUUAAAACCAAAGUACAGUAGUGAUCAAAUGUUGUUACUGAAAAAAUAAAUACAUAAAGUUCAUACAUAUAUAGUUCUCAUUGAACAACAUAUAUAUAGCUCUCUAGAGCAUCUAAUUAAACCAUACAUUGAAACAAUGUAAAAACAUUUCAAUGCAACAACAAAUGCGAUCAUAAUCGCAACUAAGGUAACAAUUGAUCCAACGGCAUAAUGAUGCCAAGCCUCGGUAUGAAUGGCAUAUUUUCUAAUCUUUCUAAUCUUCAAGCGCAUUGCAUCCAUCUUGAUCUUGUGAUCAUUGACGACAUCCGCAACAUGCAACUCCAAUCCCAUCUUCUCCUCCUUAAUUCUUUUCAAUUUUUUCUUCAGGUAAUUGUUUUCUUCUUCAACUAAAUUUAACCUCUCAACAAUAGGGUCGGUUGGAAUUUCCGGUUCACAUACCUCCUUGAUGAAAACAUCUAUGUCAUGUUGGUCGGCAUAAUUUUCAUACACACUAAAUGAACAAAAUAGUUAUAAAAUAUAAUAUAUACCACAUCGGAAUCAUAGACAGGACGAGGGCCGACGGAGGCGGAUACCAAAACCAUCGCACUAUAUGAUAACAAAAAAUAAUAAAAGUAAUAAAAUUAUACAAGUAUCUAUCUAAAUCAUACAAGUAAGAACUUUUUUCUUUUAGAAGAUAAGAACAAGAGGCUCACCACGGUGGUGCCAGCGACGAGAUCGGCGCGGGCGAUCGACAGCGGUGAGGACGGGGACGGGACAGGAUGGACCGCCAAACCUAGACAAAUCUUAAGGAAAAUGGAGUUUGGACAAGGAGCUUCGAGAGGAGAAAGCUUAAGUAUGUCUCGGACAUUUCACCGAACACCUCAUGUGCAUAGGAGGUGAGCUAGAGCACCACAAAGCUCUCCCACGGCCGGCCAAAAAAUAGAGCAAUGCACUGCUCUGCUCGCGGGCAGGGGGAUAUAUAGGCCUCUCUUUAGUCCCGAUUUGUGGCUAGAACCGGGACUAAAGGACCCCAUUUGGUCCCGAUUCCAACCACCAACCGGGAUUAAAGGUUGUGGGCCAGGAGCGAGGCCCAUUUGUCCUGGUUCGUGUCUGGAAGCGUGACCAAAGGGGUCAGACGAAUCGGGACCAAUGGCCCCCGAGGCCCUGCUGACGCCCUGGCUUUAUGAACCGAGAUUGAUGCACCCAUUAGUCUCGGUUCAUAGGGAAACCGGGAUUAAUGCCCUUUUCAGACCUGGACCAAAGCCCUAUUUUCUACUAGUGUUGUAGGCCUCGCUCACAUGAAGUAAGAACGGUCGGUGACGAUGCCUCAUAAAUCCAUGUGGUGCAAUCAUAGUUGGUGGUGCAGGGGAGGAAGUAACCUUCUUUGAUGGGGAUUCCAUCGCACGCUUGUUCGUCAUGUAGACGCGUCCUCUUAAUUUCUGUUCAGCUUUACAGGCAAGACGAAACAAAUGAUCGAUAGAAUAUAGUCUUCAUGCAUUAUUAUGUCUUGUAUAUCAUGGUUUAAACCUUUCCAAAAUCGAUUCAGAAAAUCUUCUUCGCAUUCUUGUAAGCCAGAACGAAACAAAGCAAUACACAAAUUGUCAUAAUAUUCUUCAACAAUGAUAUUGUCUUGUUCUAAACGUUUUAAUUUUCAAAGCAAAUCACUGGCAUGAUAUGAAGAACAAAUCGGUCUCGCAUAACAAGUUUUAAAUCUUUCCAAGUAGAAGGCCUAUUAUCAAUAUUUUUCCUGCAAUAAUUUCUCCACCAAACUGAAGCAAAACCUAAAAACAUCUUAGUGACAACAUUUAUUUUCUUAUGCUUGGGAAGUUCAUGGCUAGCAAAUAUUUCUUCUACCUCAAUUUCCCAAUCAAUAUAUGAAUCAGGGUCAUAUUUACCCUUAAAAUUUGGCAAAGAGGUAACAUGAUGAUGUGUGUUUCUACCAUGAUGUAUAUCAUGUGACGAUCGUCGUACCUUUUGUGGUGGGAAAGAGUGAUCUUUAUCAAUAUAUGGCAAGUCAUCUCCCACAAUAGAUGCACCCCAACUGUCAACCGCUCUAGAAUCUGCCAUGGUUAGUACCACACAAAAACAAAAAUAAUAAGUAUAAUGUUUCUAUAGUACUACUUGGAGGUGGCAGAAAAAUUCUCUCAACACUCUAGCAAUUACCAAGCUCUUACCAGAUCUUACCGUGCUGCAGUGGUUGUCGGCCUUUGGCGCCUUCAAAAGUUAUCAAAGUUGGAUAUAGUGAUUGCCAAAUCACCGAACAAGGUACAAUAUAGAAAGUGGAGCUUGGUGAAGGUUUUCUCAACUCACAAUAUCGGUGGCACAAUUUUGCUAAAAGUAAUGCAAGAUGAAUAAUUGCUCAAACUCCUAACUAGUGCUGAUAGUCGACUAGUAAGAGAUAAAAUAAUCUAAGCCCAGAUACUGAAUCAAGCGAGAGGGAACUGACGAAAAUAUAAUAGCUCCAAGUAGCUAGAUAUAAGUGAGGUAUGAACGUAGUGUAUGGCAACCAAGAGCAGACAAAAAAAUCCAACACUUAUCACUUAUAUGAAUAGAGCAGGCUGAACAGCAAAAGAGAUUUUUCAAAAGAUGCUAGCUGGCCAAAACUUUGCAUCAAAUUUUUUUAUUCUUUUUUCUGAAUUUUCCUUUUUCUUCAACUUUCAGGCCGGCCGCUAGUAGAAGUCACGGACACAAAUAUCUGACCAAACAGGUAUGAAGGGGUGGCCGGGGCACAUCUGGUGUAGCCCAUUGGCGCUGUCCAGCGGUAAAAGAUCUCAUGCCAUUGCUGAAAUUCACGUCCCCCACCCAGGGCAUUUUGGUCAUUUUGCAUCUAUGCCCUUUUCCGAUUCGCUGCAUCCUCCCCCAAUGAGUGCCUCCCUCAUUUUUCUAUCCCUCACAUCUCUCUCGGGAGAGAGUCGCUGCCGCUAGUCAUCCUCCCCGUCUGCCGCCGCUGCCGCCAACCAUCCGCAGCCGCGCCACCAUCCCCUCCCCGUUCCUCUCCCGUAGCUGAGCCAGCCAUGGCCAGGAAGAAGUGCAAGUCCUCUUCCUUCCUCCCUCACCCCUGAUCUGAAUCCUCUCCCGGAACCCCAGCCAGCCGCACGCAUCCCAUAUGGCGCCGCCCAGCUCGCAGCCCUCGGCCGCCGAGCCAUCGCGAGGCUCCUCGCGCAAGCGCACGACCUCCUCAAAGGCUGCGCCCGAGGCCGACCUGGAGUUCACCGUCACCAAGGAAAGGUAAGGGGAGGGGAGGGGAUGGAAGGGAUCGAGCGACCAGGUGAGGAAGCGCCCAGAUCCACAGGGCCAUCGACACUUCGUCAUCGACCUCAUCCGCGACCGUCCUCGAGGUCGGCCAUGGUGGUCCGGCCGGCAACAGCCAUGGAAGGAGAGGCCCGAAUCCCUGGCCCUCCAAGUACGCGCCUGCUGCAGGCCAUCUCCGGCGAGCUCAUCCACAGAUCUCCAACUAUGGUGCGUGCGCAUGAUACCUAAACCCCUUGUCUUGUCGGUUUCUUCAUCUUCCCUCCUUGUGAUUCCUUGGUUUGUUUUGUGCGCAGUUGCUCCGAUCUGGAAGAGGUGGUGGAGCUUUUGUUGUUGCUGCUGUAGGUGGACGAGGCACCACCCUCUCUUUCUACUUCUGGACACAACCUGGUGGUGAUUGCAAAUUUCAGUGUUAAAAAAUUCAGUUCAAUUCAGUCAUGUUCUUUUUCUUUUGUGGGGAAAUUCAGUCACAUUCAAUGUUCAACUUUUAGAGUUAACAAACUGUUGUUAUGACCACUAUGGUUUAGAUGUUCAGAAAUUCAGACAAAUGGUAUGAUGAAAUGAGCCACCUUUUAACCCCCUACUAAACCUACCGUGAACGUGAGAGAGCCAAUGCAGGGAGGUGUGGACAUUUUACCAUGUUCAUAGGAAGAAAUCAACAUAAAAUACACAGCUUGUAGAUGAUUCGUCAACCACCAUCAAACACGACUUGUAACUUUCUGGACUAAACUGAACCGUGCAAUUGACUCAAAAUAAAACUAAACCGUGCAAUUGACUCAAAAAUAAAUAGUAAAUAUACUUUGGUUGUGUCUGCAGAAUUGCAUUAUGGAAAGAUGUGUGUGAGGUUACCCCAUCGCCACUGGUUCCAACUUUGUCCAUCAUGUCGCUCUGAUGAGAAGACCUUGUCCAUGUUUCAUUAAUAGGGCAGAGUGCUGCUGAAGUAUCUAUGUUGAACAAUUAUAACAGUACCAAGUAAGUUUGCUCCAAUUGCAUUUGAUGCAGAAGGCACAACACCGCCAUCAUGCGUCAGGUUCAGUAGAAGGCACGACACCGCCACGCUCUCCUCCACUACAAUGCCAUGCACCCGGUAAUUAAACAUGCUUUCUCUUCAUUCNNNNNNNNNNNNNNNNNNNNNNNNNNNNNNNNNNNNNNNNNNNNNNNNNNNNNNNNNNNNNNNNNNNNNNNNNNNNNNNNNNNNNNNNNNNNNNNNNNNNNNNNNNNNNNNNNNNNNNNNNNNNNNNNNNNNNNNNNNNNNNNNNNNNNNNNNNNNNNNNNNNNNNNNNNNNNNNNNNNNNNNNNNNNNNNNNNNNNNNNNNNNNNNNNNNNNNNNNNNNNNNNNNNNNNNNNNNNNNNNNNNNNNNNNNNNNNNNNNNNNNNNNNNNNNNNNNNCAAGAUCUCAAAGAGGUGCCGGCGAACCCAGGCCACACCCAACGCGCUGGGGGGCUGUUGGGGGCGCCAGCGGAAGCAACAGCCAAUCAUAUUCCUCCAUGUAUCAUUUUUUCUGGUCCACUCAUUCACUUUUUGCCUGGCGACUGUCCUGGGGGCACCAACGGCUGGGAAACCGUCCUUGUGUUUCAUUCGGCGAAGGUGUUUUGCCCCCCAGGACGUGCUAUAUUUGGCCCGACGAUUGUCCUGGGGGCUCCAACGGUUGGAGAUGCUCUAAUUCAUUGUAUUUGCAUGUUUCCAGCAGCCAUGUAUCAAAAAAAGCUUCAGCUUUGGGUUGUUGAUUUAGCAGCAUCAAUCAUUAAUUGUUCUGCUAUAUAUGUUCUUAACCAUGACAACCUGAUUAGGCUCUUAGUUUAUUAUGGUCUUUGUUCUGGGUGGAUCUCUGACUAUUCUGGGUGGGCAUGAAUCUCUUCUUUGUUUCUUCAUCUCCUCUUAUUCUGAUUCCUGCAUUUGUUUUAUGUGAAGGUUGCUCCGCUGAGGACAAGCUGCUUCUGCAGGUGGACGGGCCCUCAAGGCUGCUCUGCCUAUUCCUCCUGCUACCCCCACACGUGGUGAGCCCCAUCCGUUCUCGAGCUACCCCUGCAAAUCUGAUGUGAUGUGCACAAAAUACUUGCAAUUGUUCUCGACACAGGAGCAUGUCAUGUAUUGUUCUAUUUGAAUGUGCAAUUUCAUUGCUUCUGUGAUGUUUGAUGCUUGCUUCACAAGAGGGAAAUCAUGGAUAUAAACUGUGCUUCCUUUCAAGUUGAAUAGUAAUGAUCACCAUUUGGUUCCAUUUUCUCCUCUGCAUCCAGUGUUCACUCUCUCAUAGAUGUCCAUAUAUACAUAGUUCUGAUCUCCUUUUUUCUGCGGCUCCAUACAGCAAACACAAAGCCGUCGAUGCAUUGAGGGCUCAAUGUCGUCUCCGCCGGCUGAGCGGCAAGCCGGGGUUGGGCCUGCACACCGUCUAUCAGCACCCUCCCGUGUCUCCAUUCACGGAUCUGCAGGUCAACCCCUCUUCUCCUCCUAUCCACGCAUCUUCUUUUCCAGAGCUAGGUGUAUGGUUGCAUGGCAAUUUGUGUUUAGGGGCUCACCAUGUUCUGCUUGCCCUGGUUGGCCAAUGAGGCUUUCCUUUUCUUGUAAAGGCCAAAUGUACAAUUCUCUAUGCUUUAUAUUUUUGUAGUUCCUUUGUUUCCAUGCUAGUUUUUUGAUGGGGUGUAAAUAUAUGCUUUUUUGUUCCUUGUCUGGAUUCAGGUAGGGCCUAACAUUAUUGUUCCUUUGUGCAUGGAAAUGUUGGUGGUUUUGUUCCUUUGUGUAUGGAAGGGGGCCUUGAUUAGAAUUUUUAACGUUUGAGUUGUAAUUAGUGUUUUUGUUACACAUGAAAACAUAUGGUUGUUUGUCCAAUCACAUAUGAAAAAGAGAUGAUUGUUUGUCCAACAAUUUUCUUUCUCUGUGAUAGUUUUACUAGAAAUAAAGCAUAGUCACUAUUACAUCCUAUUUUAUAUCUUGUUGUGUCGUGAUAUCUAUAUAGACUCUGUCUACGUCCUUUUGACAUUCCAAGUUUUGUUUUUCUAUGGCUCAAUUAGUUACCCCGUAUCAAGAGAAAUUUAACUGGUAUUUGCGGUAGAGUUAGCUGAAUUCAUGAAGCAAUGAUUUAGUUAUUAUUAAAGCUGAAACACAACAUGUUUUGACAAAUGCGUUCUAAGUAAAGCCUCCAACUAACAUAACCAAAAACAUAUUCUUUAGGUUUAUCAUCUAUUGAAGUAUUAUGUAGAAUUUUAAAUCAUACGAGGCAAAGCAAAUGAGCUCUAUGCACUUUCCAUGUAGCACAAAACAAAAAUAAUCAUGUAUAUUUUGGAUGCACCUAGAUAUACUCAUCAGCAAGGCUGAGGUUAUAGGGCAGGGCACUCACCCACAUUGUCGACAUCUCCGUCACUAUGAUCACCCACAUGAUGGACAAUUCCCUUCUUUCUUUUCUCUGUGGCUAUUGACACUUAAUGCUAUUACUGUGUGCAUAUAUGUACUGUGAUCCAUUCUCAUUCUUCAUAUCUUGAGAAACUAUCUCAAGAUACUCGCAUUUGUGUUUUGAAGAAAGCCUAUUCUAUGAUUAAUAUAUCAAGUAUGGAUGGCGCGAUAUCACCUCUCUUUAUGAUGAUGUUCUUACAGAAUAUAGGUUUUAUGGUAACACGUCUUAGCCAACACCUAUACUGAUGCUCAGACCAGAUGAUUAUAGGCUCUCCUUGCUAUUUUUCUUGAGGUGUGUACAUCUAUCUAGACAAUUUAAUUAAAAUAUAUAUUCCAUACAAACCAUCAAUACAUGUUAGUUGACUUUGAAACUAAUCAGUAAAAAGGUUGUCCCUUUCGCAUUUUAUGGACAUAAAGAUUUGGUGUUGACUGUCGAUCUUUAGUUAACACAUGACCUUACAACCGUAGGGAGUGGGAAAAAACUUAUAUGUUUGGCACAUUUGAAGAACAUAUCAUAGUAACGAAGUUUUGGUAAACAAUGUCCUAGAUCUCAACCAUAUAGAAAUACUAAAUAUAUGUUUAUUUGUAUAUGGAUUAAUUAUACAGACUUAUAAAACCUUGUGCAGGGCACAUAAAAGAAAUUUGAAAUAACUAUUAUUUCAAUAUUUGCUUUUUCAGUUGAGCAUAAUAGUUUAUAGCCUGAUAGGCUUGGACAUAAUUGUCUACAUGUACUGCUCAGUAGGCGACAUCCUUUGGGAAAUUGAGGAUGUCCUCGUGCAUUUUCUAAAUACAAUUGGGGCAUAUCUGAGGAAUGAAGGGAGGAAUAAUCUCGUGGGAGAGUUCGGUGCAGAGGAAGAAGAACAAGAUAUUAUUUAUUUCUUGUGUACAGUCAAGCUUGUGCAUUGUCCCACUGUAAGUUAUUUCAACAAUAGUAGUAACUGUUAUCUCUGGCCAUCUGUUGCGACAUUUUCUUUAACCACCAAUGCAUAUUUAUUUUCUUGUUAAUAACUCUCAUAAUUGCCUGCUACUGUUUCAGUUCUGGGGCCAGGCAACCUUGAAUCCAACGUCCACCUGCAGGCUACAUCUCAGGUAGGAUAAAAAGAUUGCAGUGAACUUGAUGGGUAUAUCAUUAUUGUUGCCUCCUAAUUUGUGUGAUGAGCAAAUGUGUAGAUUGUGUGUAAAUCCGAGAUGCCUAAAACGGUUGGGAACUGAACUUGUUACCUCGGUUCACUUUAAUGGCAUGUUAAACUCGAUGCACUUUCUGGACUGUGACAUUUUUCCUGAAAUUUUGGAAGUGACUGCUAAUGUAGUCUAAAUAGAGUGACUGAGUAGUUACUUUCUCACAAGAGUUGACUUCCCGUUAUUGGAGUACUUGCUAAGAUGGAUUGGUGGUUUUUAUGUUAGAUGAAAAAUAUUACAUCAAUCUUUACGGCUUUUUAUGGGCAAGUGAUUCCGACUCCAUAAUAAGGAAUAAUAUAGCCCUAGUGCUGUGAUAAUGUUAAAACAUUUACCUCUUUUAUCGGUUCAUGUUAUGUAUUUGCUGCGAAAAAAUGGUCUUAUAUCAAAUAAUAGCCUAGAGCUUUUGGAGUGUUAUUACUUGUAUUUGUUGCUUGGAUGUAUAAACCUUCAACAGACUGUCAAUUUUGCUUUUAUAUAAUCUGUUUGUUUAAGUCUGCUGCAUAUUGGUCAAAAGCUCAUGCUAAUUGAUGAUGUUAGGUGAUGAUCUUGUAUCUAACAGUGAUUUCUGAAUGCAUGCUAAAGAAAACUCAUGAACAUCAUGGCGCCUUGUUGAUGGGGUGAUCAAUAGCUACUAUAUUGGGACCCUGAACUUAAAUUGUAGGUCUGAUUUUGUUUCGGAGUUCUCCUGCUACCCACAAGCUUAGAUAGUUCUUUUGUUUGUGCAGGGGAAAUUGCAAAGCAUAUUAUGAAUUGUUACAAGAAACUAUUUCUGCUGUUUUGGUGCAAGGACGUUGCUUUUUAGUAUGCUUCCCGUAUCUUGGUAUCUUGGAAUAAUAAACAGAUAGAUGUCGUGUACCAAGAUUGUUCCUUGUUGUUAAGAGGGAUACAAAUAUUAUACAAGAUUUUUUCUGAUGACUCCUAAAGCAUAUUUGGAUAUACAGCAAAGUAUAUUGUCGCUUCCCUGUUAGUAAAACGAUUAUUUUAGAAAUUUGGUUGGCAGCCCCUACAUUUGGCUGAUUGCUAGCUUACUGGAUUACUCAUGUUUGCGGACUCUGGUAACUUAUGCCUACCAAGAACUACAUGAAUUUUGUGUCUUGCUGCAGUGAACAUUACCAAACUAAUUCUAGAGGUGUUAUAAUCAUGUUUUCUUUUGCAUUAUCAACUUUUAACUUUUGUCAUUUGUUAACACAUUCCUUUUGCAUUAUCAACUUUUAACUAUUGUCAUUUGUUAACACGAUUAUUUAGUAUGUUCACUAUGCGAGUACUCCCUCCGUCUGAAAAUACUUGUCAUCAAAAUAGAUAAAAAGGAAUGUAUCUAGAACUAAUAUACAUCUAAAUACAUCCCCUUUUAUUCAUUUCGGUGACAAGUAUUUCCGGACGGAGGGAGUAGUAAUAAUAGGAGCUAUUUAUUUGCCAGAUAACUAACACUAUUCAUAUGGCAUAAGGGUUAGAAAAAGAACUGUAUUCUUGCUGUGUUGAUUUUCGUAUGGCACACUAUGGAUUCUUUGUGUAACACAUAAUGUCGAUCAACAUGUGUUUACAACGCAGGGAGGAGCCGGGCGACAAGGCAGUCAGACCAAACUCUCUUUCCAUAUAUAUAGGUAGUCUGAUGUUAUGCCAUAGCCGAACCAUAUAUGUUUCGUGUACUGCUCUAUCAAUCUGGUCUUUUGGUAUAUUAGACUCUAUCCUUUGUAAUGAACUUAUUGUCAUGGGCGAUCAUUAUGACUGGAUCGUAUGGUAUGAAUCGGGUCUUUAUGCUUUGUGAUGAAAUAUCAUAUUAUCCUGUUCACCAGUUUGGUUUGGUUUUGAGCUAAAACGUAUAAAAAUACAUGGCUUACAACAAUGGAUAUAUGUGAUGAUAUAUUGAGUGAUUAAGCAUAAUUUUAGACUUUCGGUGCUGGACCAAUGGGAUGCAUGGGGUAAUUGAAUGUUUCUUCUUCACUUUUUAUUAUCGGUUGGGAUCAGCACUCUCGCGCGAUCUAGUUAUGAUGAUGCUGCCUAUACAAAGCAAAUCUAUGUGGCUAUAAAGUGGAGCACCAUGGCGAACAAGAAACUGGCGCUUGAGGACAGACAUGAGUGGAACUGAUGUCUGAUGCAACACGGCGUUGCUGUACGCGUCAGGGCAGACAGCAACGACGUGUAACAGAUGGGAUGUCGGAUUGCACGCAAAACAAAGGAAUCCAAUGCAAUUUUGAUAGUUUUUUUUUCAGAUUAUGGACGAGCUUGCGGCGGAAACCAUGGUGGAGAAAAAAAAGUUCGAUCUAGUAGACAAAAAUUUCUCAUACAAAUCUAAACCAGCACUAUUUGUAGGAUGAUGCAACCAAAAAUUCAACUACGCAAGUACUAGAUGCAAAAAUUGCUAACGGCUAAAAAGAUAGGUGCAAAGGAUGAACUAAUCUUUCUUUCUUUUUUGGCUUUUUUUGGGUUAUAGGACAUGAAAAAUAAGCUAAUCUAACAAAACUGUAAAUCUCUCACCGCUGAAAGUGAAAACUGAUACCACUUAUGUGACGGCGGCCCGAUGUUUCGAUGAGAGUGAGGAUAACUAUCAAUUUGAUGGAUUCUGAUCUUGACGCUCCGGCUAUACAAUACCCGACGAUAUGCCUCGACAAUCGCUAAACCAAUCUCCGAUGGUUAUUGACCUUGCCGUAGGCACGGUCAACCUGAACGACGAGGUUUGAGUUCCUGCAAGUAACUAAAGAACCGGCAAGAACAAAGGUGAAUUGCAAUCUGAAAUUGCGAAUGAAAAAUUAAGCACAUGAACUAGAUCAAAAGUUGGAGUUCCACUUUGGAUCUGACAAGGCGGUAGUCCUACACGUCUCAUAGAUGCGAAACUGUAGCAUGGCUAAACAAUACAAUAAAACCCGCGUAAACCCUAGAAUAUGAUGACUAUUUAUUAAAGGCCGGCGUGGAGAAUGCUUCGUCUAUUUUCUUGGAAGUCAAGACGGGCCUGCUAAUUGGCCGGACACACACGCGAUCUGAUUUGAAAAUAAACUUCUCAUAUCAAUCUGGUGGCAAACUGCCUCAUCGGUACUAUAGGCCCAGAUGCGCAACACACAAGGCCAUGCAUGGGCGCAAAACCUAUACGACGCCCUCAGCGUCCGAUACCAUGUUAACGGUACAGGGCACAGAACGUCGUGAGACAGUUCGGUCCAUAUCCGGUGUGGGCAUUAGAGCAUUGAGAGGACCUUUCCCUAGUACGAGAGGACUGGGAAGGACGCACUUCUGGUGUAUCAGUACACCCCCUUGUCACGAUGGGCCGGCCCACAUUCCUUUUUUUCUAUAUUAAAGACGCCGAAAAAACUGAAUGUAAGCACCAUGAUUCAAACCGGCAAUCGACUGGUUCAACACACACCACCUAACCAAUAGGCUACAUGUUGUUGACGUGGUUAGUUAUAGCUUUUCCUUCUUUUCUUCUUUGUACCUUCUUUUUUGUUUUUUUGUUCGAACGGUUUUGUUAGUUUUUAUUAUUUUCCAUCUUAAUUUUUUUCAAUAAUACAACAUUUUUCGUUUCAAUUUCGUGAACUUUUUUAAAAUUCGAUAUUUUUUUUCAAAAUUCAAUGAACUUAUUUUCAAAUUCGAUGAACUUUUUACAAAUUGGAUGAACUUUUUUCAAAUUUGAUGAACCUUUUUUUAAACUCGAUGUUUGUUUUCAAAUUUGCCAACUUUUUUGAAAAUUCAUGUACAAUUAUGAAUUCAUGAAUUUUUUGAUAUUUUUUUAAUUUUGCAAAUUUCCCCUUUUUAGUUUUUUUAAAUAGCAAUGGUUUUUUCGACAAGUGCUUGCAAGAGAAAAAAGGCUAGCAAAGGAGCGAGCAGCGACCGAUUGAGCCAGCAGCAGCGGUCGAGCGAGUAGUCGAGCGAUUAGCAAUCGAGCGAGCAGCGAUCGAGCGAGCCAGCAGCAGCGGCCGAGCGAGCAGUUGAGCGAUUAGCGAUCGAGCGAACAAAUGCAUGUUGAUUCAAUAAUGCUCAAGUGUAAAUAUUCUGUAUUAAACUUCGCAUCUUCACCCGAGGUUUGUGCAUCUCUUCUUUAAUCCUGCAUAUAAAAUAUUGUGUUGUAUUUUUGUUUCGGAUAACAAAAUAAUAAUUCAUAUAAUUUCUAUUAGAAUUCACCUGAUAAUUAUCUUUACGCGCAAUAAUUGUGGUUAUAUCCGUACGGGUCAUGUUUAUAUCAGGUAGUUAAUCUUCUUUUUCUUAUCCGCAAGACACUUCUUCACAUGCUCAUCCAAGAGGGUUUCGGCUGCCAACAUGAUCAUCGCAUCCACCACGUCCUGUGAGAUUCGCAACCUCUCCUUCUCAAGCUCUAUGUCGCCAAAUGUCUUGGCCUUCUCGAGUUCCCAUUUGAUCGCCACCCCUUGGUGGUCCACCAUGUCCGAACCUCCUUGCGCCGCCGCCGCCUCCCUCUCUCGCUGCAGGCGUUGCCGCAACUUCUGGGCGGCGUCCUCCGCCUUGCAAGUCAGAGCCGACGAAGGGACGCCGACGGACAAGGCGGACGGCGUCUUUGUCGCGGUGGUGGAUCGGGACCGGUGGUGAGGAUUGGGAGCAAGGGUGGAGGACGGCGAGGGUUCGGGCGCGGGAAAAGUUGGAGGGCGGCGGGAGGAGGAGAAAGGGUUUGGUGCAUUUGGCACAAUUUUCAAUGGGGUCGGGCUGACGGGUCCGACGUGGCGGGCGCGCCCGGGCGCCCCAUAUUUGGGCUAGAUAUGAGGGGUGCCGGUCAGCCCAGGCGUUCGAGGCCCGUUUAAGGAGCCCGUCUGGAUCGAAAAAUCGUGACCGGGUGGCCCACCCGGGUGUAUGAGCCAGGCUUGAGGUGCCCGACUGUAGAUGCUCUAAUCAUCUAGAUCUGACGCUCAAAGGCUCCACCCUCCCCCACGACUUGGGUUCGAGCGCCUCCCCAAAACUUCGUCGGGAUCCGCCACAACCGGCAACGGCGAGGCCAGAGGUGGCCGGAUCCGGCACAGGUUGGUCUCUCCCCUCCUUCUUCGCCCACCCUCUCCUCCUUACCUCACGCCACUUGUCUUCCCUUUUUUGCAGGUCGCCAUGGCGCGGACGGCGAUGACGGCAGGAGGGGCACACACAUCCGUGGAAUGGGACGCCGCCAUGGAGAUGGAGAUCCUUCUUCACACCACGCAGAGGCCCCAUGGAGCCUCCCUCCUUCUUCGGUGACUUCUUCUCAGGCCCCACCACUACCUCUGCCCUCCCCCCUCCUCUACUUUGAGUUGCACCAUGCUUUGUUUCAGAUUCAUCCACCCAUGGGUGAUACAUGGGAAGUUAGGGGUUGCUGCAGUUUGAGGUUAAUCCCUUGAUUGGCUGUUGUUUCGGGUUGAUUAGAUUAGUUAGCUCAGUUGGCUGCUAGACUUUAGGAGUGCAUACAUGGGUAUAACAUGCUCUGCACAUUUAGGAUUGAAGUAUUGUGUUGCAGCACUCAGUGACGUUAAUUUAGGGCAUUUCAGUGUCAGUUCCACUAUAUUUCGGGGGACAUUUAACAGUGCAAUUUCAUGGUUAUUACAGUGUAAUUUCAAGGUUCUUGCAUUCUAAGUUCAGAGAAUUACAAUGUUAGUUUAUGUGAAUUCCCGUGCAUUUUACUGUGUAAUUUAAGUGCAAUGGAAAUUAUAGUGUAAAUUCAGUGUAAUUUACUAUGUAAAUUUACGGAAAUUACACUGUAAUUCGUGUGCAACUUUUAGUGUAAUUUACACUAUAAUUUCAACGGGUUUACAGUAGAGUAAUUUAAGUGUAAUUACAGUGUGCACUUUAGAGCAAUCAUACUAUAUAUUUAGUGAAUUUAAAGUAUCACUCCAUACCUUUCGGGUUUGUCUUUUUUCUCUACAAGUUACUGCUAUACUGUUGAUUGAUUCUACCCUUGCGAAAGAAACUUUGAUGAGCACAUAAUUUUCUACUAUGUAAUUUGAGCAGCUUGGUAACCGUAAUUUUCAGUUUCCUUUGACCCUAGGCCCUUGUGCUUUAGAAUUGCUAUUUUUUGUCAGUGUACAUGCUAGAUCAUGUGGUUUAUGAUACUUCUCUGGUCCUUAUAAACAAAGUGACAUGUUUGUACUGUGGAAUAGAAAGAAUAUUUCAGUGUCUCUCUUUAGGCCUUUUGUCGAAUUGUUAUGUGGUCCAGUGCAGCCUUACGAAACCGGGUUCUAUGCAGUUCAUGUACAGUGCAAAACUCAUUAUUGCAGGUCAGGCCUGUAGCAUGUCUUGGGUCAUUGACAUGCAGGAAAGAAGGAAAAAGGACAUAGAAGUAUCAUUUUGUUAUUGGUCAAGAAAAUUUGAAUAAUGUCCAACUGAUUUCAGUUGAAUGACAAAUAGACAAUCCCUUGUUUAAUCAGUAGAUAUACACCAUUAACUCAAAUAGCAAAGAAAUACUAGUCCAUUUAUAAUCGAUGAUUGCGCAUGAUGCAUCCAUCCAUUCUAUCGGAGAGGCUGUGUUUUUUUUCUUCUUGUGCUAAGGUUGAUAGCAUCACAUAUCUUAUGCUUUUGUUUCUCAAGUAGAGCCUUGAGAUAGAUGUGUCUGCAACCGUCCUCGAAUGGUUGUGCAAUAAUAAUGGUCCUAGCUAAUUACUAGUAUGCACUGCUUAUAAAACAACUUGUUGCUCGUUUCACUUUGAGUAUGCUGUUGCUGCUAAAGUAGCAACAACAACAGCCAUGCUUUGGUUCCCCAAAAUUCAGAUGGCACUGGCAUCUCUACAUACACACACAUAUAUGAAUAUGCACCUCAGUUUGGUUCAGUUUGCAUGUGUACCGUUGCUUUAACUUUGACUGAAACUAUCUUGGUGGCACUUGCAUCAAUGUUGUGCUCUGCCCUUGUAUAUGUCCUUGGAGAAGAUGACCAUUGGACUGUAGGGGACGAACAACCUUGUCCUGCUCGAGGAGGAGGAGGAUGGCCACCCUGAGCUCGAGGACGACACGACAACAGGAGCACUCACCUCCCUACUAAGGUGAAGGUCCGAUCCGCCUGUUUAGAUGGUCUGCUCUUGUCUUGUGAUCUGAGGGGAGAAGAAAGCCAUUGGCCUCAAUUAUAUUUGCAUGUGAGGGGAGCGAUCCUUUUGGUAGAUGCAGAGUAUAGAUUACAUAUUCCACAAAACUCACCACACGAGUAUACUAACUAUAUCCACAAAAUUCACCACACGAGCAUACUACCUAUGUCCAAAUGUGGGUUUGAUACUUUCGACAUGAAACAUGAAUAUCAGGUUGGGAGUUUGGAGUUUAAUCAAAUAACGCAGCAAGGCGAUCAUCGGUAGGGAUGCACCUUUGAGGCGGCAAGGAGGGCUUCUCAAAGGCAGUACACAUGGCUUAUUACUGCUUGUAUGUGAGUACGCAGAUGUGGCGUCUAUGGAUAGAGGGUUAGGGGCGCAACGCAAGCGGCAGUAGGGGAUACACAACCUGAUUUGAUUUGGUCAAUCACGGGAAAUGGGAGAAGGCCUAGGGUGCAAAGUUUAGAUCGGUGGGUUGGUAGCGUUAGGCAUAAUAGAGAUCAAACCUUUUUCAUAGGCGUAUGUAGGUUAUUUCCUUGAAGCAUUUUAUCAAAAUGGUGUAGGCGGGUAAUAUCUCUCAACUUAAAUGUGAAGGGGAUAUAUUAUUUCCUUGUAGAGGCCGAGGAAUACAUGGCGUACCGCUACAUAUGCAACCAUGAUUUUUUGUGGAUGGUUACGAGAGAACCUGAAAGAUACCAUGGACCGAAGCAUGGGCACAUGAAGUUCCUGUUGGGGAACGUAGUAAUUUCAAAAAAAUUCCUACGCACACGCAAGAUCAUGGUGAUGCAUAGCAACGAGAGGAGAGAGUAUGAUCUACGUACCCUUGUAGAUCGACAACGGAAGCGUUAACUUGGUUGAUGUAGUCGUACGUCUUCACGGCCCGGCCGAUCAAGCACCGAAACUACGGCACCUCCGAGAUCUAGCACACAUUCAGCUCGAUGACGAUCCCCGGACUCCGAUCCAGCAAAGUGUCGGGGAAGAGUUCCGUCAGCACGACGGCGUGGUGACGAUAUUGAUGUACUACCGUCGCAGGGCUUCGCCUAAGCACCGCUACAAUAUUAUCGAGGACUAUGGUGGAAGGGGGCACCGCACACGGCUAAGAAUAUGAUCACAUGGAUCAACUUGUGUCUCUAGGGGUGCUCCCUGCCUCCGUAUAUAAAGGCUCAAAGGGGGAGGGGUGGCCGGCCAAGAGGAGGCGCGCCAGGAGGAGUCCUACUCCCUCCAGGAGUAGGACUCCCCCCCUUUCCUAAUUGGAAUAGGAUUCGCGGAGGGGGGAAAGAGGAGAGAGAGGAGGAAGGGGGGGGCGACCCCCUCUCCUUGUCCUAUUUGGACCAAAGGGGGGAGGGGCGCGCGGCCCAUAUCUGGCCACCUCUCCUCUCUUCCACUAAGGCCCACUAAGGCCCAUAUACCUCCCGGGGGGUUCCGGUAACCUCCCGGUAAUCCGGUAAAAUCCCGAUUUCACCCGGAACACUUCCGAUAUCCAAAUAUAGGCUUCCAACAUAUCAAUCUUUAUGUCUCGACCAUUUCGAGACUCCUCGUCAUGUCCGUGAUCACAUCCGGGGCUCCGAACAAACUUCGGUACAUCAAAAUGCAUAAACUCAUAAUAUAACUGUCAUCGAAACCUUAAGCGUGCCGACCCUACGGGUUCGAGAACAAUGUAGACAUGACCGAGACACGUCUCCGGUCAAUAACCAAUAGCGGCACCUGGAUGCUCAUAUUGGAUCCUACAUAUUCUACGAAGAUCUUUUAUCGGUCAGACCGCAUAACAACAUACGUUGUUCCCUUUGUCAUCGGUAUGUUACUUGCCCGAGAUUCGAUCAUCGGUAUCCAAUACCUAGUUCAAUCUCGUUACCGGCAAGUCUCUUUACUCGUUCCGUAAUCCAUCAUCCCGCAACUAACUCAUUAGUCGCAAUGCUUGUAAGGCUUAUGUGAUGUGCAUUACCGAGAGGACCCAGAGAUACCUCUCCGACAAUCGGAGUGACAAAUCCUAAUCUCGAAAUACGCCAACCCAACAUGUACCUUUGGAGACACCUGUAGAGCUCCUUUAUAAUCACCCAGUUACGUUGUGACGUUUGGUAGCAUAAAAAGUGUUCCUCCGGCAAACGGGGGUUGCAUAAUCUCAUAGUCAUAGGAACAUGUAUAAGUCAUGAAGAAAGCAAUAGCAACAUACUAAACGAUCGGGUGCUAAGCUAAAGGAAUGGGUGAUGUCAAUCAGAUCAUUCAUCUAAUGAUGUGAUCCUGUUAAUCAAAUGACAACUCUUUGUCCGUGUUUAGGAAACAUAACCAUCUUUGAUUAACAAGCUAGUCUAGUAGAGGCAUACUAGUGACACUCUGUUUGUCUAUGUAUUCACGCAUGUAUUAUGUUUCCGGUUAAUACAAUUCUAGCAUGAAUAAUAAACUUUUAUCAUGAUAUAUAAGGAAAUAAAUAAUAACUUUAUUAUUGCCUCUAGGGCAUAUUUCCUUCAGUCUCCCACUUGCACUAGAGUCAAUAAUCUAGAUUACACAGUAAUGAUUCUAACACCCAUGGAGCCUUGGUGCUGAUCAUGUUUUGCUCGUGGAAGAGGCUUAGUCAACGGGUCUUCUACAUUCAGAUCCGUAUGUAUCUUGCAAAUCUCUAUGUCUCCCACCUGGACUAGAUCCCGGAUGGAAUUGAAGCGUCUCUUGAUGUGCUUGGUUCUCUUGUGAAAUCUGGAUUCCUUUGCCAAGGCAAUUGCACCAGUAUUGUCACAAAAGAUUUUCAUUGGACCCGAUGCACUAGGUAUGACACCUAGAUCGGAUAUGAACUCCUUCAUCCAGACUCCUUCAUUCGCUGCUUCCGAAGCAGCUAUGUAUUCCGCUUCACAUGUAGAUCCCGCCACGACGCUCUGUUUAGAACUGCACCAACUGACAGCUCCACCAUUUAAUGUAAACACGUAUCCGGUUUGCGAUUUAGAAUCAUCCGGAUUAGUGUCAAAGCUUGCAUCAACGUAACCAUUUACGAUGAGCUCUUUGUCACCUCCAUAUACAAGAAACAUAUCCUUAGUCCUUUUCAGGUACUUCAGGAUGUUCUUGACCGCUGUCCAGUGAUCCACUCCUAGAUUACUUUGGUACCUCCCUGCUAGACUUAUAGCAAUGCACACAUCAGGUCUGGUACACAGCAUUGCAUACAUGAUAGAGCCUAUGGCUGAAGCAUAGGGAACAUCUUUCAUUUUCUCUCUAUCUUCUGCAGUGGUCGGCCAUUGAGUCUGACUCAACUUCACACCUUGUAACACAGGCAAGAACCCUUUCUUUGCUUGAUCCAUUUUGAACUUCUUCAAAAUUUUGUCAAGGUAUGUGCUUUGUGAAAGUCCAAUUAAGCGUCUUGAUCUAUCUCUAUAGAUCUUUAUGCCUAAUAUGUAAGCAGCUUCACCAAGGUCUUUCAUUGAAAAACUCUUAUUCGAGUAUCCCUUUAUGCUAUCCAGAAAUUAUAUAUCAUUUCCAAUCAGUAAUAUGUCAUCCACAUAUAAUAUCAUAAAUGCUACAGAGCUCCCACUAACUUUCUUGUAAAUACAGGCUUCUCCAAAGGUCUGUAUAAAACCAAAUGCUUUGAUCACACUAUCAAAGCGUUUAUUCCAACUCCGAGAGGCUUGCACCAGUCCAUAAAUGGAUCACUGGAGCUUGCACAGUUUGUUAGCUCCCUUUGGAUCGACAAAACCUUCCGGUUGCAUCAUAUAAAACUCUUCUUCCAGAAAUCCAUUCAGGAAUGCAGUUUUGACAUCCAUCUGCCAAAUUUCAUAAUCAUAAAAUGCGGCAAUUGCUAACAUGAUUCGGACAGACUUAAGCAUCGCUACGGGUGAGAAGGUCUCAUCGUAGUCAACCCCUUGAACUUGUCGAAAACCUUUUGCGACAAGUCAAGCUUUGUAGACAGUAAUAUUACCGUCAGCGUCAGUCUUCUUCUUGAAGAUCCAUUUAUUCUCAAUUGCUUGCCGAUCAUCGGGCAAGUCAACCAAAGUCCAUACUUUGUUCUCAUACAUGGAUCCCAUCUCAGAUUUCAUGGCUUCAAGCCAUUUUUCGGAAUCUGGGCUCACCAUCGCUUCUUCAUAGUUCGUAGGUUCAUCAUGAUCUAGUAGCAUGACUUCCAGAACAGGAUUACCGUACCACUCUGGCGCGGAUCUUACUCUGGUUGAUCUACGAGGUUCAGUAGUAUCUUGUUCUGAAGUUUCAUGAUCAUUAUCAUUAGCUUCCUCACUAAUUGGUGUAGGUGUCGCAAAAACAGGUUUCUGUUAUGUGCUACUUUCCAAUAAGGGAGCAGGUACAGUUACCUCGUCAAGUUCUACUUUCCUCCCACUCACUUCUUUCGAGAGAAACUCCUUCUCUAGAAAGGAUCCAUUCUUAGCAACGAAUGUCUUGCCUUCGGAUCUGUGAUAGAAGGUGUACCCAACAGUCUCCUUUGGGUAUCCUAUGAAUACACAUUUCUCCGAUUUCGGUUCGAGCUUAUCAGGUUGAAGCUUUUUCACAUAAGCAUCGCAGCCCCAAACUUUAAGAAACGACAACUUUGGUUUCUUGCCAAACCAUAGUUCAUAAGGUGUCAUCUCAACGGAUUUUGAUGGCGCCCUGUUUAACGUGAAUGCGGCUGUCUCUAAAGCAUAACCCCAAAAUGAUAGCGGUAAAUUUGUAAGAGACAUCAUAGAUCGCACCAUAUCAAGUAAAGUACGAUUACGACAUUCGGACACACCAUUACGCUGAGGUGUUCCGGGUGGCGUGAGUUGCAAAACUAUUCCGCAUUGUUUCAGAUGUAGACCAAACUCGUAACUCAAAUAUUCUCCUCCACGAUCAGAUCGCAGAAACUUUAUUUUCUUGUUACGAUGAUUUUCAACUUCACUCUGAAAUUCUUUGAACUUUUCAAAUGUUUCAGACUUAUGCUUCAUUAAGUAGAUAUACCCAUAUCUGCUUAAAUCAUCUGUGAAGGUGAGAAAAUAACGAUAUCCGCCACGAGCCUCAACAUUCAUCGGACCACAUACAUCUGUAUGUAUGAUUUCCAACAAAUCUGUUGCUCUCUCCAUUGUAUCGGAGAAUGGUGUUUUAGUCAUCUUGCCCAUGAGGCACGGUUCGCAGGUACCAAGUGAUUCAUAAUCAAGAGGUUCCAAAAGUCCAUCUGUAUGGAGUUUCUUCAUGCGCUUUACACCGAUAUGACCUAAACGGCAGUGCCACAAAUGAGUUGCCCUAUCAUUAUCAACUCUGCAUCUUUUGGCUUCAACAUUAUGAAUAUGUGUGUUACUACUAUCGAGAUUCAUCAAAAAUAGACCACUCUUCAAAGGUGCAUGACCAUAAAAGAUAUCACUCAUAUAAAUAGAACAACCAUUAUUCUCUAAUUUAAAUGAAUAACCGUCUCGCAUUAAACAAGAUCCAGAUAUAAUGUUCAUGCUCAAUGCUGGCACCAAAUAACAAUUAUUUAGGUCUAAUACUAAUCCCGAAGGUAGAUGUAGAGGUAGCGUGCCGACCGCGAUCACAUUGACUUUAGAACCAUUUCCCACGCGCAUCGUCACCUCGUCCUUUGCCAGUGUUCGCUUAAUCCGUAGUCCCUGUUUCAAGUUGCAAAUAUUAGCAACAGAACCAGUAUCAAAUACCCAGGUGCUACUGCGAGCUCUAGUAAGGUACACAUCAAUAACAUGUAUAUCACUUAUACCUUUGUUCACCUUGCCAUCCUUCUUAUCCGCCAAAUACUUGGGGCAGUUCCGCUUCUAGUGACCAGUCUGCUUGCAUUAGAAGCACUCAAUUUCAGGCUUAGGUCCAGACUUGGGUUUCUUCUCCUGAUCAACAACUUGCUUGCUUUUCUUCUUGAAGUUCCCCUUCUUCUUCCCUUUGCCCUUUUUCUUGAAACUAGUGGUCUUGUUGACCAUCAACACUUGAUGCUCCUUCUUGAUUUCUACCUCCGCAGCUUUUAGCAUUGCGAAGAGCUCGGGAAUAGUCUUAUUCAUCCCUUGCAUAUUAUAGUUCAUCACAAAGCUCUUGUAGCUUGGUGGCAGUGAUUGGAGAAUUCUGUCAAUGACGCAAUCAUCUGGAAGAUUAACUCCCAUCUGAAUCAAGUGAUUAUUAUACCCAGACAUUUUGAGUAUAUGCUCACUGACAGAACUGUUCUCCUCCAUCUUGCAGCUAUAGAACUUAUUGGAGACUUCAUAUCUCUCAAUCCAGGCAUUUGCUUGAAAUAUUAACUUCAACUCCUGGAACAUCUCAUAUGCUCCAUGACGUUCAAAGCGUCGUUGAAGUCUCUAAGCCGUAAAGCAUGGCACACUGAACUAUCGAGUAGUCAUCAGCUUUGCUCUGCCAGACGUUCAUAACAUCUGGUGUUGCUCCAGCAGCAGGCCUGGCACCCAGCGGUGCUUCCAGGACGUAAUUCUUCUAUGCAGCAAUGAGGAUAAUCCUCAAGUUACGGACCCAGUCCGUGUAAUUGCUACCAUCGUCUUUCAACUUUGCUUUCUCAAGGAACGCAUUAAAAUUUAACGGAACAACAGCACGGGCCAUUUAUCUACAAUUAACAUAAACAAGCAAGAUACUAUCAGGAACUAAGUUCAUGAUAAAUUUAAGUUCAAUUAAUCAUAUUACUCAAGAACUCCCACUUAGAUAGACAUCCCUCUAAUCAUCUAAACCAUAACCGAUCAUCACGUGAAAUGGAGUAGUUUUCAGUGGUGAACAUCGCUAUGUUGAUCAUAUCUACUAUAUGAUUCACGCACGAUCUUUCGAUCUCAGUGUUCCGAGGCCAUAUCUGCAUAUGCUAGGCUCGUCAAGUUUAACCUGAGUAUUCUGCGUGUGCAAAACUGGCUUGCACCCGUUGUAGAUGGACGUAGAGCUUAUCACACCCGAUCAUCACGUGGUGUCUGGGCACAACAAACUUUGGCAACGGUGCAUACUCGGGGAGAACACUUUUAUCUUGAAAUUUAGUGAGAGAUCAUCUUAUAAUGCUACCGUCAAUCAAAGCAAGAUAAGAUGCAUAAAAGAUAAACAUCACAUGCAAUCAAUAUAAGUGAUAUGAUAUGGCCAUCAUCAUCUUGUGCUUGUGAUCUCCAUCCUCGAAGCACCAUCGUGAACACCAUUGUCACCAGCGCGACACCUUGAUCUCCAUCAUAGCAUCAUUGUCAUCUUGCCAAUCUUAUGCUUCUACGACUAUCGCUACCGCUUAGUGAUAAAGUAAAGCAUUACAGGGCGAUUGCGUUGCAUACAAUAAAGCGACAACCAUAUGGCUCCUGCCAGUUGCCGAUAACUCGGUUACAAAACAUGAUCAUCUCAUACAAUAAAAUUUAGCAUCAUGUCUUGACCAUAUCACAUCACAACAUGCCCUGCAAAAACAAGUUAGACGUCCUCUACUUUGUUGUUGCAAGUUUUACGUUGCUGCUGCGGGCUUAAGCAAGAACCAAUCUUACCUACGCAUCAAAACCACAAUGAUAGUUUGUCAAGUUGGUGCUGUUUUAACCUUCGCAAGGACCGGGCGUAGCCACACUCGGUUCAACUAAAGUUGGAGAAACUGCCACCCGCAAGCCACCUAUGUGCAAAGCACGUCGGGAGAACCGGUCUCGCGUAAGCGUACGCGUAAUGUCGGUCUGGGCCGCUUCGUCCAGCAAUACCGCCGAACCAAAGUAUGACAUGUUGGUAAGCAGUAUGACUUAUAUCGCCCACAACUCACUUGUGUUCUACUCGUGCAUAUAACAUCAACAUAUAAAACCUAGGCUCGGAUGCCACUGUUGGGGAACGUAGUAAUUUCAAAAAAAUUCCUACGCACACGCAAGAUCAUGGUGAUGCAUAGCAACGAGAGGGGAGAGUAUGAUCUACGUACCCUUGUAGAUCGACAACGAAAGCGUUAACUUCGUUGAUGUAGUCGUACGUCUUCACGGCCCGACCGAUCAAGCACUGAAACUACGGCACCUCCUAGUUCUAGCACACAUUCAGCUUGAUGAUGAUCCCCGGACUCCGAUCCAGCAAAGUGUCGGGGAAGAGUUCCGUCAGCACGACGGCGUGGUGACGAUCUUGAUGUACUACCGUCGCAGGGCUUCGCCUAAGCACCACUACAAUAUUAUCGAGGACUAUGGUGGAAGGGGGCACCGCACACGGCUAAGAAUAUGAUCACGUGGAUCAACUUGUGUCUCUAGGGGUGCUCCCUGCCUCCGUAUAUAAAGGCUCAAAGAGGGGGGCGGCCGGCCAAGAGGAGGCGCGCCAGGAGGAGUCCUACUCCCUCCGGGAGUAGGACUCCCCCCUUUCCUAAUUGGAAUAGGAUUCGCGGAGGGGGGAAAGAGGAGAGAGAGGAGGAAGGGGGGCCGGCCCCCUCUCCUUGUCCUAUUCGGACCACAGGGGGGAGGGGCGCGCGACCCAUCUCUGGCCACCUCUCCUCUCUUCCACUAAGGCCCACUAAGGCCCAUAUACCUCCCGGGGGGUUCCGGUAACCUCCCGGUAAUCCGGUAAAAUCCCUAUUUCACCCGGAACACUUCCGAUAUCCAAAUAUAGGCUUCCAACAUAUCAAUCUUUAUGUCUCGACCAUUUCGAGACUCCUCGUCAUGUCCGUGAUCACAUCUGGGACUCCGAACAAACUUCGGUACAUCAAAAUGCAUAAACUCAUAAUAUAACUGUCAUCGAAACCUUAAGCGUGCGGACCCUACGGGUUCGAGAACAAUGUAGACAUGAACGAGACACGUCUCCGGUCAAUAACCAAUAGCGGAACCUGGAUGCUCAUAUUGGCUCCUACAUAUUCUACGAAGAUCUUUUAUCAGUCAGACUGCAUAAGAACAUACGUUGUUCCCUUUGUCAUCGGUAUGUUACUUGCCCGAGAUUCGAUCGUCGGUAUCCAAUACCUAGUUCAAUCUCGUUACCGGCAAGUCUCUUUACUCGUUCCGUAAUCCAUCAUCCCGCAACUAACUCAUUAGUCGCAAUGCUUGCAAGGAUUAUGUGAUGUGCAUUACCGAGAGGGCCCAGAGAUACCUCUCCGACAAUCGGAGUGACAAAUCCUAAUCUCGAAAUAUGCCAACCCAACAUGUACCUUUGGAGACACCUAUAGAGCUCCUUUAUAAUCACCCAGUUACGUUGUGGCGCUUGGUAACACACAAAGUGUUCCUCCGGCAAACUGGAGUUGCAUAAUCUCAUAGUCAUAGGAACAUGUAUAAGUCAUGAAGAAAGCAAUAGCAACAUACUAAACGAUCGGGUGCUAAGCUAAUGGAAUGAGUCAUGUCAAUCAGAUCAUUCAUCUAAAGAUGUGAUCCUGUUAAUCAAAUGACAACUCUUUGUCCAUGGUUAGGAAACAUAACCAUCUUUGAUUAACAAGCUAGUCUAGUAGAGGCAUACUAGUGACAAUCUGUUUGUCUAUGUAUUCACACAUGUAUUAUGUUUCCGGUUAAUACAAUUCUAGCAUGAAUAAUAAACUUUUAUCAUGAUAUAUAAGGAAAUAAAUAAUAACUUUAUUAUUGCCUCUAGGGCAUAUUUCCUUCAGUUCCAACACCGAAGGGUAAGGAGACGGGCCCGCGUCAUUUACGUCCGGAAUAUGCGACCUUGAUUCUUUGUCGAUGGUGAUGCCAAGACUAUAGGAUAAGGUGGAUCCGGACACAUGAGCAGAUGAAGUGCCUGACACGAAGUUGGUUAAGGAGCUGGACCCAAGUCAUCUACACCGCAAAUUGGUCGAAGGUGUGCCGUGAAUGAUAGAUGUACUUGAGGGGGGAGAAAGCCUGUGAAAAGAACAUACGGUUGCUCGAUGAUGACACAUGUCUUGAGAGGAUGGCGAGAACCCUAGAUAUGGUUAAGGCACGCCACGAGAACAUCACCCCGGUCGCGAGAUUCUCAGUGGUGUGCGGCAACCGAAGCCAAAAGGGCACCCCCGCAAGACCUUGAAAUGCCAGAGCGGUGGGCGCACAAGCAAUGGUGAGGAAAAUCACAUAAGGUACCAAGCAAGGCCAUCCUGAUCAGGGCUCCAUUGCCAAGCUUAUGUCCACCACUGCGAUUCAGACAAACUUUCAACUGGCGUCUCUGUCUUCUCAAGAUUUCCAUGGUCCCAUCAGGAUGUAUAUAUGUACUUUGUUUAUUUUGAAAAUUAAUAUAUCACCAAAGAAAUUGUAGUACUUGUCAUUCUUUUAAUUACUUAGUAGUUUGCAUGAUAGACUCAAUCUUAUAUUUACUAAUUAGAGGCACCAAAUAAGCGACCACGUUAAUCCUCAAAAACUAAGAAUAUUAUCCAUCCGAUCUCCAUAUUAAGUAUCUGUAGCCGUCCAUUGGACAACUCAAGAGUCCUGGGUUACUAUCCCACGUCAUGCUCCAUGUAAUGUGAAAAAAAAAUCAUCUCCUUGGCCAAAUCCAUCCCACGUCAUGCUCCAUGUAAUGUGAAAAAAAGCAUCUCCCUGGCCAAAUUCUUCCUCCCCUGAUCUAUCAUGUGAGGCACUUGCGCAUCAUCCACAAAUCCCUAGCGCAAAUCCAUCCCACGUCAUGCUCCAUGUAAUGUGAAAAAAAUCAUCUCCCUGGCCAAAUUCUUCCUCCCCCGAUCUAUCAUGUGAGGCACUUGCGCAUCAUCCACAAAUCCCUAGCGCUGCUCUUCCAGGUCGUCCUCCUCCUUCCUAUCUUUUGUUGUCUUAAUGCAAAACGAUUCCGUGAGAUCCUUGUGAUCCUCUUCAUCUUCACGUAGAAAUCUGAACUGUCCCAACCACGCUGCAGAUCUGUGGUCCGUCUUGGACAAAGAGAAGGCCCUUUCAAUCUCCACAGAUGCCAUGCCCCAACCAAACCGCAACCCAUGAUAAACGAUGUUGUUGAGAAGGAGGCGCUACCUAAGUCUGAUCGGACAUAUGCCAUUGUUAGGGAAGCUACAAGUCGAAGAACUAUGGUAGACUGAUUGCGAGUAAUUAAGGAGCUAUCAACGAUCCAGUAGGUUUUUGUUAUUAGGAAUUUUUAUGUAGUGCGACUUGAUCUCAAAGAACAAGUACACCAUUAGAGUUCGUUUUGGAGGAUUUUGAUGAUGUGCGCUUAGUUACAGACUUAUCUAAAUACGUAUAACUAGGAUGGACAAUAUUUGUAGGAGCCAUACAAUCCAAUUAGGGGAUUUAGUUUGUCAAAGAUGUUUCCACAUAUCCCUAGCGCUGCUCUUCUAGGUUGCCCCCUGCUUCCUAUCUACGGUCUUCAAGUAAAGCGAUUUAAUGAGUCUCUUGCUGCAGAAAUUUCAACUGCCACAAGAAGGCUGCAGACCUGCGGUUCAUCUUGGCUGAGGUGUCAUACAAUCCAGUUAAGGGAUUCCAUUCAUUGAAGAUGUGGCUGUACUUUCGCACAACAAACUCAAGCACAUCUUCUUAUGUUCUUAGAAACUAGAUGAGUUGUUUUGGACUUUCUUUGGUCUACUCCUCUAUGCUUCUUAUUGGGAAAGUUAGUAUGCAAAAGUUAUGCCCAUCUUCUUAAAUUCGGAUGUAACUUUUCGAGUAGAUGAUUUUUCAUAUAAAAAACUUUUUCAUCCGAGUUAGUAUGCAAAAGUUAUGCCCAUUUUUACAAAUUUCAGAGAGAUUUUGCAAAUAAAGUGAAAAUUCAGAUUUGCAAAUUUUCCCAACAAGUAGACCACAUAUCACAUGGGAAACUUAUUUUCUUUUAUUUUUUUUGACAUUUCCAUCAUUUUCUUUUAUUUUUUUAAAACUGAAAAGGCGAUCCACAUGGGGGGGGGUAGAGUUUGAAAAUGGGACCUUUAGUACUGGUUCGUGGCACGAACCGGGACUAAAGGUCUCAACCCCAUUAGUCCCGGUUCAUGCCUCAAACCGGGACUAAAGGUCUAAUCGUUAGUCCCGGUUUGAGGCACGAACCGGGACCAAUGGUUUUGUGCCAGGAGCGAGGCCCAUUGGUCCCGGUUCAUCCCACCAACCGGGACCAAAAGGUCCAGAUGAACCGGGACCAAUGGCCCACGUGGCCCGGCCGGCCCCCUGGGCUCACGAACCGGGACCAAUGCCCCCGUUGGUCCCGGUUCUGGACUGAACCGGGACUAAUGGGCUGACCCGGCCUGGACCAAAGCCCUGUUUUCUACUAGUGAGUCCAAUCUUGUGUUUAUUCCUCCAUGUCGGCAAAGAGUCAGUAGUCAAUCACCAAGCAAAAUUGCGCACAGUGGGGGGUACAUCACAUCUCCAUAUAUAUUGCCAGCAUUUUCUACUACCAUCUGGCGAUGUGCUAGAUGCCUCUACAGUAUUUCUGUGAGCUACUUCAAAAGCCAGCAUAUAUGCUGAUUUGACCGUGAAGACAUCGAGCUUCCCCGGCCCCCAUGCAAUCACAUCCUCACCUAAUCUUGGAGAUGCCCAUAUCUUUAAGAUUUCUUCCACAUCAGCUGAUAAGAAGUACUGCUGAAGAAGUACCAAGUUCCAAGAACCAUUAUCAUUUAGCAAGUCGGAGACAAAACGAAUGCGACAUCUUCCCUGCAGCGACACAGGUUUGUACGAAAAGGGCCUUGGAAUCCAGUUAUCUCUCCCCUUUGUUGGUAGUCAGAGUCACUAGGACAACUAACUGUGUUAGCAUCUAGAGUUGUAACAAGCCACAGUCCGCCUAUCUUGGUUGCACAGCGAUGAUGCUACCAUCUCCUACGACAAAGUACAUGCCUUGCACCGGAAACAGCGCAACCAUAUGACAUCUAUCCGAGUGGGCGACCACGUGGUGACCGGGCAUGAGGCCAUGGCUGAGGCCGCCUACAACCACUUCUCCGAUGUGCUCGGAAGUGCCAUGGAGCAUGACAUCACGCUUGAUCUCCGCGUUUUGCGUGUUCAACACAAUGCUACUCCGUGCGGUGGACCUAGGCCUUCUUCGACGCCUUACAACUCGGCACGCGGCCUCGAGUAUAUCGCUAUACGCGGACGAUGUUGUCAUCUUUUGUCACCCGGAUAGCCACCACAUUACCACCGUGUGAACCAUCCUACACAUAUUCGGGCUUCAUACAAACUUCGCCAAGUGUUCUGCCACCCCGAUCCGGUGCGAUGAUGACAACAACAUGAUGAUCACAUCUGAGAUGCAGUGCCCCAUAGCCCAAUUCCCCAUCACAUACCUCGGUUUGCCUCUCUCUAUCUGCAAGGCCUCCACGACUAGCUUGCUCCCAAUCAUUGACAAGAUCGGCCACAAGCUCUCCACUUGGCAUGCUUCCAUGAUGUCCAACGGGCAACGGCGACUGCCUUGCUCUCGUGCAUCACGUACUUAGUGCUAUCCCGACAUACUUCCUCACCACCUUUGCUCUCAACCAAUCCAUCCUCGUGAAAUUCAACCGCAUCAUCCGCGGAUUCCUUUGGGCGGGAGGCACCGAAGGCAAUGGGGGUCAGUGUCAUGUUAACUGACAGCAAGUUUGCAGGCCAAUCUCUCUUGGCGGUCUUAGCAUCAGGGACAUUCAAAGGACCGGCAUCACCCUCUGUGCAUGGUUGCUUUGGUUACAGUGCACCGACCCCUUGCAACCCUCGAGCCACUUACACAUACCUCACGACCCAGACGUGACUGCCAUCUUCAGCGCAUCUAGGACCUGGGAUCUUGGGUCCGGCGUCACCUGCAGAUUCUGGUCCGACCACUUGAUAGAGGGUAGAUCCGUGGUUGAGAUCCCCCCAGUCCUCGCCUCGUCCCUCGACGCCGACGCAAGACUCGCACCGUUCACGAGGGCCUCCACCUUAGAGCCUGGGUGCAAGAGAUUCAUGGAGCACUCGGACCGACGGCCAUGUUGCAAUAUGUUGAUCUUGAGCGACGUGUGCGCCACAUUGACCAGAUGAGCCGGAUACACUCAAAUGGCGCUGGACCGCCUCCGCUAUGAAAUGUCUAUGAUGGGAGAAUUUAAAUUCUUCUUAGGCCUUCAAAUUCUUCAACAGCGCAAUGGCAUCUUCAUAUUUCAGGAGAAAUACCUCAAGGAUGUAUUGUGGAAAUUCGGCAUGAAAGAUUGCAAAGGCGUCAAAAUCCCUAUGCCCACAAAUGGCCAUCUAUGCACUGAUGAAAAUGGUAUUGACUUUGAUCAAAAGGUAUACCGCUCCAUGAUUGGUUCUUUAUUGUAUUUAUGUGCAUCUAGGCCAGAUAUUAUGCUCAGUGUUUGCAUGUGUGCCCGAUUUCAACCUACACUGAAGGAAUCACACCAUAAGGCUGUGAAGCAUAUUCUUCGUUAUCUAGCUCACACACCAACACUUGGAUAUGGUAUCCCAAGGGCUCGGCUUUUGAUCUCAUUGGGUACUCACUCUGACUAUGCGGGUGAUCCUGUGGACCGCAAGUCAACAUCAGGCACAUGCCAUUUCCUCAGGCGAUCCUUGGUCUGUUGGUCCUCGAAGAAACAGAACUGCGUAUCACUGUCUACUGCUGAAGCUGAGUACAUUGCUGCUGGUUCUUGCUGUUCUCAAUUUCUAUGGAUGAAUCAAACCCUCAAGGACUACUACGUCAAUGUAAAGAAUGUGCCUCUCUACUAUGACAAUGAGAGUGCCAUCAAGAUUGCUCAUAACCCACUUCAGCAGUCGAAGACAAAGCACAUUCAAAUUUGUCAUCAUUUUCUUCGUGAUCAUGUGUUGAAGGGCGACAUUUCUAUUGAGCAUGUGAAGACUGGAGAACGGCUAGCCGGUAUCUUCACAAAGCCUUUGGAUGAGAAGAGAUUUAGCAAGUUGCGGUGUGAGCUAAAUAUCCUAGAAUCUUCGAAUGUCCUUUGAAAAGGACACACAUCCUAACACUUGUGCAAAGUUGAUGACUUAGACGUGCAACACACGAAGAAACGUUUUUCUUCAUUCAAUGAAGAUUAACACUCUAAGUGUGAAGAAAUUAACAAAGAAUUUGAUUCUCAGAGCCCUUCGACAAUUGUACAUGGUGUUUGAAAUCAUCAUUCUUAUACGGUGGGUCACGCCACCACCAAAAGUUGAAAAUCUUGAAUUUGAGUUUUUACUCAUUUUUGAAUUUCCUCAGUUGUUCAAAUUCUUCAACCCAUCCCACCUUAUCUUCUCAUACCCACUCCCCCCAAUUCCCUCUCUAUCUCUCCCGCAACCUCCCUUGCGCGGACGCCGCCAAACCACCACCUCCCCUGUGCCGCCGCGCCGCGACCUCCUCUGCGCCGCCGCGCCGCAACCUCCUCUCUGCGGCCGAGUCUGCUCCCCGGCGAUUCCCGAUCCACAACUGCCCCCAUUGCCCUUGCCUUCCUCUGCGCGCCGCCGCUCUAGGUCGCGUCCACCGCGUUCCACCACCACCAGCACAUCAGUACGGCGGUAGUGCGGCCCCGCUUCCGUUCCUCCAUGGCCGACCCCCUACCUCCCACCUUCUCCCUCCCGCCCCGAUCGACAACCUCCAUCACCGCCCCGGUCGUGUUGCCCCUCCCGACCCCGCGCCGCCGGAUCCGGGCAACCACGCCGGCGUGCCCUUCCACAAGCUUUCCCGUCGUGACCCUACCACGAGCUGCUCCAGCCCGACCCUGCUUCUUUAACAACGGCACGGUGGCAACUCCCCUUAGUUCACUCCUGCACCGGGGUCGCGAGCUCCGUUCACGGGCUCGCUGGAUCUCGUGAUUGGGGCGCUGGCGACGUGCUCUCCUACUCCACCGCGCCCCUCCUCUACUUCAGCUCCUAUGCCUGUGCCUCUCGUGGACUCAUCGGCGCACAGGCCGCUCUGGAUCCACGCUGGUUCGAGGCCCUGACGGCCUCCUCUUCCUGCUAAGUCACCGAGAUCCAUCGGGGUAUCAAGUUGUUUUGUCGGCCCAAUACUCCUUCUACCUUCCCUUGCCGGCGGUCGUGCAACUUCGGUGAACACCGCUACUCGCGCGCGGAUGACGACGGCGCAGUGGCACUGCAGUUCGCUUUGCAGGGGAUCCGUUGAUGCGGCCGUGGAGUUCGGCCCACAGGUGCAUGAAGUUAUCUUGCCCCCUCCCACAGUUUACCCUUCCGCAUGAGCCCCAUGCCAUAGUCCAUUGGGAAGAAGCUCGUGGUGCGGAUGUGCGGAUGCUCAGUGACAGUGCUGGUGUGUUUCAGAUUUUGUUUUUCUGCAAUUUGUAGGCGACGCUGGAGCAUUGCAGUUCAUUGGCUCGGGGCGAGCAGUGGAGAGGACACACGUGCGUGCAGUUCCCUGUCCAUUGAAAAUGUAGAAGCCCAUCUUGCUGCAAUGUAUGUGAGCAUAUGGCCUGCAAGUGAUGCUCUUUUCCCAGAUUGAAAACAUUGCAAUGUGGUUGGCUGGCCAUCGACGUGCACUUCGCUUUGGGGGGCAGUACGUUCUUUGUGGACGCGCACUUCGUUCGGCCCGAGCGGCAUGAAGCUCCGUUUGCGCGCAUGUGUGGCUUGGCUAACUAGUUUGUGCAGUCGCAUGAUACCUUUAUUAUGUGAUGCCUCCCUAGUUGCUGGAGUUCACUUCUUUGUAUUUAUUGAAACAUCAUGUAGUGCACUGUGAAACUCUCUGUUGUUCACUUGUAAAAACAAAUAGCGGUUCCCUUUGUAAAAAAAAGUGCAGCCCCUUAGUGGUUCACCUUGUAGAAAAUGAGAAAGAAAUCCCCAUGGGAGGUUCACUUCUUUUUCUAAUGCAAUUUGUUUUGUUUGUGGGAUGAUUGAAAAAAGAAGUUCACUCCACUUGUUUAGCAGCUCAUACCCCUUUGUAUGAAAUGCAAUUUGUUUCGUGUGUCUCAAAAUCAGUCGACUAC